GUCGAACGCUGGCGGCGGGCUUAACACAUGCAAGUCGAACGGAAAGGCCCCUUUGGGGGUACUCGUCUGGCGAACAGGUGAGUAACACGUGAGUAACCUUCCCUUGUCUUCGGGAUAACCUCAGGGAACUGGGGCUAAUACCGGCUAGGAAUCCUUGCUGCAUGGUGGGGGUUGGUAAGCUUCGGCGCUUUUGGAUGGACUGGCGGCUUAUCAGCUUGUUGGUGGGGUAGUGGCUUACCAAGGCUUCGAGCGGUAGCCGGCCUGAGAGGGUGACCGGCCACAUUGGGACUGAGGUGCGGCCCAGACUGCUAAGGGAGGAAGAAGUGGGGAAUAUUGCACAAUGGGUGGAAGGCGGAUGAAGCAAGGCUGCGUGCGGGAUGACGGCCUUCGGGUUGUAAACCGCUUUCAGCAGGGGCGAAGCUUGUGGUGACGGUACCUGCAGAAGAAGCACCGGCUAACUACGUG
rnacentral:rRNA from 1 species